rnacentral:rRNA from 1 species
AAUCAACGCUGGCGGCGCGCUUAACACAUGCAAGUCGAACGAGAAAGCCCGCAAGGGUGAGUAAAGUGGCGUACGGGUGAGUAACACGUGGGUAAUCUACCUUCUGGUGGGGGAUAACCCUGGGAAACCGGGGCUAAUACCGCAUAUUCCCGAGAGGGGAAAGGAGAAAUUCGCCGGAAGAGGAGCCCGCGGCUGAUUAGCUAGUUGGUGAGGUAACGGCUCACCAAGGCAAAGAUCGGUAGCCGGCCUGAGAGGGCACACGGCCACACUGGCACUGAAACACGGGCCAGACUCCUACGGGAGGCAGCAGUGGGGAAUCUUGCACAAUGGGGGAAACCCUGAUGCAGCGACGCCGCGUGAGCGAUGAAGCCCUUCGGGGUGUAAAGCUCUUUCGGCAGGAGCGAUAAUGACGGUACCUGAAGAAGAAGCUGCGGCUAACUACGUGCCAGCAGCCGCGGUAAUACGUAGGCAGCAAGCGCUGUUCGGAGUUACUGGGCGUAAAGAGUGCGUAGGCGGUUCUCUAAGUUUGGUGUGAAAUCUCCCGGCUCAACUGGGAGGGUGCGCCGAAAACUGGAGGGCUUGAGUGUGGGGGAGGCAAGCGGAAUUCCUGGUGUAGCGGUGAAAUGCGUAGAUAUCAGGAGGAACACCUGUGGUGUAGGCAGCUUGCUGGACCAUUACUGACGCUGAGGCACGAAAGCGUGGGUAGCAAACAGGAUUAGAUACCCUGGUAGUCCACGCCCUAAACGAUGCAUACUUGGUGUGAGCCAUUCAUUUGGUUCGUGCCGGAGCUAACGCGUUAAGUAUGCCGCCUGGGGAGUACGGUCGCAAGGCUG